CCUACGGGAGUCAGCAGUGAGGAAUAUUGGUCAAUGGACGCAAGUCUGAACCAGCCAAGUAGCGUGAAGGAUGACUGCCCUAUGGGUUGUAAACUUCUUUUAUAAGGGGAUAAACCGCGGCACGUGUGCCUUUUUGCAUGUACUUUAUGAAUAAGGAUCGGCUAACUCCGUGCCAGCAGCCGCGGUAAUACGGAGGAUCCGAGCGUUAUCCGGAUUUAUUGGGUUUAAAGGGAGCGUAGAUGGGUUGUUAAGUCAGUUGUGAAAGUUUGCGGCUCAACCGUAAAAUUGCAAUUGAUACUGGUAGUCUUGAGUACAGUAGAGGUAGGCGGAAUUCGUGGUGUAGCGGUGAAAUGCUUAGAUAUCACGAAGAACACCGAUUGCGAAGGCAGCUUACUAAACUGUGACUGACAUUGAGGCUCGAAAGUGUGGGUAUCAAACAGGAUUAGAUACCCUUGUAGUC
rnacentral:rRNA from 1 species